GAAUGACAUUAGUCAUCACCCUCGGUAGCCCUGGUGGGUCUCCCCUACAGUCUGGGAUGGAGUUGGCCCUGGAGAUGGUCACAUGCCCUCUAGUGUGCCCUGAACUUCGCAGCCAGAGGACACUCCAUGUGUGCUUACUCCUGGCAGGUGGAUUCCCCGCAGAGAGCGUGCUCACGGGGAAGAUGCAGAUCCAUCCUCCUCAGGUCCUCGGAGAUGGCUGCUUUAAAGACUCUGAGGACGGUGCCCAGGAGGUUUUGACAAGGUGGACCGAGAGGUGGACGAAAACCUCAGGAGACGGAAGCGAACUGGCCAUGAGCCAAUGCUCUCCUUUGACACCCGGGAAAACGGAGGCCCACAGGGAGGGAGCACCUCGCUCAGGAUCUCCCGGUGGAUGAGUAUGGAGAGCUGACUUGGCCCCCGGGUCCCCGGACUCUGGGGCGGACCCUUCUUCUGCUUGCUCAGAAUGAAGGGGGACUUGAAAGAAAGGAGGAGGGUGCGCCACCAUGUCCCUGAAACACCCAUUUCCCUUCCCAAGAACGAAUCAAGUCAAGAGCACAGUGAGCGUGAGCCAGACCGGAAUGUCCAGAUGAAUAUGAUCUCAAUGGACACUGACUCUCCCCGUCUCACGCCCUGAGACCCGGGGCAAGGGUGUCAUCUGUGGAAACGGCUUCUUGCUCCUAGACCAAGACAACUGUUCCUUGGAUCGCUGGGCAUGCAAAGGUGCAAAGGAAGCUCGUGACGUCACUGCGUCCGUAGCUUAGCCCAUAAAGCCCCUCUCCCUGAGCUCGGUGGGGAGGACAGGUGUUCGUCCAUCCGGACACGGCACCAUGGGCAUGGAGGUGCUACUGUCCAGCCUGUUGCUACUGGGUCUUCUUUCUUUUCAAUAAAGCUCUGACUCACAGGCCAUCUCCCUGUCUUCUUUGGUCUCCCAGCAACCCGUCCCUCUGCCCUCUCACAACUGGGUGGGGACGGUACACCUGCUGAUCUCCAGAAACUCCCAGGUAGGACUCCACCUGACGGCUUUCGACAGAGCCACAUCACUGCGAUUCUUGGAAUGUCCCGUGAAGGGAAGAGCCUGCCACCCUCCUUGAGGAAGCCGUCACGGCGACUCUCUGAGAUGACAAGAGGAGCCUGGGUUCACAAGCUCUUGGGUGGCAGAAUCAAGGCUAGAAGCAUCCCUUUGGGAGACUCUAUUGCCGUUUCCAUACGAACACCGUGCUGCUGUUCAGUUGAAUCUGGAAGGCUUCGUGGGGGCAAGCGUCAUGUGUCAGCAAUGACGUGAGCCGAGGUCAGGGGACGGUCGCUGACUUCUUCUCUUUGCUUCUUCCUAUCUGAGGUCUGAUUCCAGCCAGGGACGUUGGCAGAAAGGGCACAGUAACGUUUGCAGCUAAUAUUUAUGGAAAACUUUCUGUGUGCCAGGUCCCUGUGCCAAGCACUUUCCUUCCAUGAGCUCAUCCCUCUCUUUCAGAGUAGCCACUGGAGUGGGGAACGUCGUCAGCCCCAGAGGCGGAAACGGAGGCAGAAGGAGGUGAACUGAGAUAAGUGAAGCCAGCCCUGGUGCCUGCUGAGAUGGACUUAGUUGACACUCAGAGAGGAUCAGUGAUUUGGGGCACCUUUCUUCGUGUCUGGAACGGAACCACUCCCUUCACGUGACACAAGUGACCUCUUAUUUCUUCUUGAAGCUACCGAUGCUUUGGGUGUCAACUCUGACCACUUCUUAAUCCCUUUCAAGGGUCCCCUUCUUGCUGCCAACCCCCAGUGGCUUCCAAGUCACUGUGAUUUAAUUAUGUCCCCCAAAAUUCAUGCAUUGAAACGUUCCCCCCAAGUCAACAGUGCUGGGAGAGGAGGCUUAAUGGGAAGCGUCUAGGACUCUGCCCCCAAGGAUGGAUCAGAGCUGCCGUCGCAGGAAUGGUUUGGCUCUAAAAGUGAGUUGAGCCCCUCUUGCCUUCUCUGGGAUGCUCUCUUGACUUGUGGUACAUGCUGCCACGUUGGGGGCACAGCAAGAAGGUCUUGCCAGAUGCAACCCCUUGAUCUUAGACUUCCCUGCCUCAGAAUCAUAAGCCAGAUUAAAUUUCCAUUCAUUGUAAA